UACAGGAGGGGGCAAGCGUUUGUUCGGAAAUUACUGGGGCGUAAAAGGGCGCGUAGGCGGCCUGUUAAGUCGAACGUGAAAAUCCCUCGGCUUAACCGGGGAACUGCGUCUGAUACUGGAUGGCUUGAGUUUGGGAGAGGGAUGCGGAAUUCCAGGUGUAGCGGUGAAAUGCGUAGAUAUCUGGAGGAACACCGGUGGCGAAGGCGGCAUCCUGGACCAACACUGACACUGAGGAGCGAAAGCCAGGGGAGCAAACGGG
rnacentral:rRNA from 1 species